rnacentral:rRNA from 1 species
UACGGGGGGGGCAAGCGUUGUUCGGAAUUACUGGGCGUAAAGGGCUCGUAGGCGGCCAACUAAGUCAGACGUGAAAUCCCUCGGCUUAACCGGGGAACUGCGUCUGAUACUGGAUGGCUUGAGUUUGGGAGAGGGAUGCGGAAUUCCAGGUGUAGCGGUGAAAUGCGUAGAUAUCCGGAGGAACACCAGUGGCGAAGGCGACUCACUGGACCGGCAUUGACGCUGAGGUGCGAAAGCGUGGGGAGCAAACAGGG